AAACUUCGCAAUGUGCGAAAGCGCGACGAGGUUAAUCCGAGUGCCGCCCGCUGAGGGCGGCUUUUCUCAGGUGUAAAUGGUCUGAGGAAUAAGGGGAGGGAAAGCCUGGUGUCAGCCGCCGCGGUAAUACCAGCUCCCCGAGUGGUCGGGACGUUUAUUGGGCCUAAAGCAUCCGUAGCCUGCUCUGUUGGUCCCAGGUUAAAUCCAAUCGCUCAACGAUUGGGCCGCAUGGGAUACCGCAGGGCUAGGAGGCGGGAGAGGCGGACGGUACUCCGCGGGUAGGGGUAAAAUCCACUGAUCCGCGGAAGACCACCAGUGGCGAAGGCGGUCCGCCAGAACGCGCUCGACGGUGAGGGAUGAAAGCUGGGGGAGCGAACCGGAUUAGAUACCCGGGUAGUCCCAGCUGUAAACGAUGCGAGCUAGGUGAUGGAGUGGCUACGUGCCAUUCCAGUGCCGCAGGGAAGCCGUUAAGCUCGCCGCCUGGGGAGUACGGUCGCAAGGCUGAAACUUAAAGGAAUUGGCGGGGGAGCAC
rnacentral:rRNA from 1 species